rnacentral:rRNA from 1 species
UACAGAGGGUGCGAGCGUUAAUCGGAAUUACUGGGCGUAAAGCGCACGUAGUCGGCUUUGCAAGUCGGUUGUGAAAUCCCCGGGCUCAACCUGGGAACUGCAUCCGAGACUGCAUUGCUAGAGUAUGGGAGAGGGAAGCGGAAUUUCUGUUGUAGCAGUGAAAUGCGUAGAUAUCAGAAGGAACAUCAGUGGCGAAGGCGGCUUCCUGGACCAAUACUGACGAUCAGGUGCGAAAGCGUGGGGAGCAAACAGG